AAGUGACCACCUGCGCGUUGGCCAGGCCGAGUCGCGUAGCUAGCCCGUCUCGCUCGGACGGCGCCAGGUACUUCUGGAGGACGAAGCGCCGCUCCAGCUCCAGCACCUGUUGCGCGGUGAACGCAGAACAGAGCAACAGGUCGCUCAGUUGGCAACGGUCUACUCUUUUCCCUGGGCACUGGCGGCCUUCCGGAGCCGCCACGGAGGAGAGGUGAGAAGUCGCAGACCGCUGCGGAGCGUGCGCGUCAAGUCCGCGGAACGUUUUACUAGUCAGCUCCUCCAGCGCGCACAGCGGCGACGUUGGACCCGG